UGUCGCAGUGACAUAGUGGUCAGUAUUUCCGCUUGUCAAGCAAUUGGCAAAUCGCGGGAGACUGGGGUUCAAUUUCAAUUCCCCGCUGGAGAG
rnacentral:tRNA from 1 species